rfam:Pteropus alecto contig17439, whole genome shotgun sequence.
GGUUCCAUAGUGUAGCAGUUAGCAUGUCUGCUUUACACACAGAAGGUCCUGGGUUCAUGCCCCAGUGGAGCCA